UAACUCCUCCGUCCUCUAAUCCAGUGAGCUACUGGAUGAAGUGUGAUUUCUUUCGAUUCGAUUGUUGGAAGACAGUGACCUAGUUGGUUCCGGUUAUCACAGCAUCAAGAGUUUGUUGCUGUCUCUGUUUGAUUCCGGCCACCACCCCCUGUCAACAGCUUGACACACCUGAGUAGGAAGGAUUCCAGCAGCAAACGAUCCUACUUCCAACAGUGAUAAAACGGCUGUGAGUUUCAGGAUCUUGACGCGAGACGAGUAUCACGGAGUCAGAUUUGG